rnacentral:misc_RNA from 1 species
GAAAUGCGAUAAGUAGUGUGAAUUGCAGAAUUCAGUGAAUCAUCGAAUCUUUGAACGCACAUUGCGCCCUUCGGUAUUCCGUUGGGCAUGCCUGUUCGAGCGUCAUUUAAACCUUCAAGCUUUGCUUGGUGUUGGGCGUUUGUUCCGCCUCCGCGCGUGGACUCGCCUCAAAUUCAUUGGCAGCCGGUCAGUUGGCUUUCGUGCGCAGCACAUUGCGUAGCGGCUCCAGCUUGCCUCCCACCAUUAAGCUACUGUAUAUAUCUUGACCUCGGAUCAGGUAGGGAUACCCGCUGACAUUAAGC